UGGGGAAUUUUGGACAAUGGGCGAAAGCCUGAUCCAGCAAUGCCGCGUGUGUGAAGAAGGCCUUCGGGUUGUAAAGCACUUUUGUCCGGAAAGAAAUCCUUGGCUCUAAUACAGUCGGGGGAUGACGGUACCGGAAGAAUAAGCACCGGCUAACUACGUGCCAGCAGCCGCGGUAAUACGUAGGGUGCAAGCGUUAAUCGGAAUUACUGGGCGUAAAGCGUGCGCGGGCGGUUUGCUAAGACCGAUGUGAAAUCCCCGGGCUCAACCUGGGAACUGCAUUGGUGACUGGCAGGCUAGAGUAUGGCAGAGGGGGGUAGAAUUCCACGUGUAGCAGUGAAAUGCGUAGAGAUGUGGAGGAAUACCGAUGGCGAAGGCAGCCCCCUGGGCCAAUACUGACGCUCAUGCACGAAAGCGUGGGGAGCAAACAGGAUUAGAUACCCUGGUAGUCCACGCCCUAAAACGAUGUCAACUAGUUGUUGGGGAUUCAUUUCCUUAGUAACGUAGCUAACGCGUGAAGUUGACCGCCUGGGGAGUACGGUCGCAAGAUUAAAACUCAAAUGAAUUGACGGGGUCAUAGCUGUUUCCU
rnacentral:rRNA from 1 species